AUGGUGCGCUUCUCCGUCCUCUCCAAGGCAAGGAAGGAGGGAGGCGGGGGAGCCAAGCCAGCAAGCGGUACCAGCAGCAGCAGCCCCCUCCUCUGCCUCCUCCUCCUCCUCGGCUGGGGCGAAGGCCAGAUGAUUUCUUCUUCUGUCUGGAUCUGUGUAGGUCACCCAACAUCAGCAUGGAGUAUUUCUUUGAUUGAUUGUUUGUCCUUUCCAUCCAUGUUUUCAAGGGAACAUUGGAAGCUAAACCUCAGAGAGAAGAUGAUUGUCACAAUUCAUAUGACUAUGGCUACUUUUUCUAUCAUUGCUAUGGUGCUAUGCAGCAAAAUAUCAUUCACAGGCUCAAAAAUGCAAGAGAAACAGAGAUAUGGGGGGGGGGGGUUACAUUAUGCUUGCCAAAAUGCUAUACUGUAUAGAACUAAGAUUAUUUCAUUUACUUCACUGAUAAUGAAAUAGUUUCUUAAAUAAACCUCUUGUGAAGUAUUAUUUAUUUUUUAAAUAUAUAUCAAAACUCAAAGAUGCAUCAAAAGAAUGGUGCUGAUAUAAUGUCACCCCUCCCCAAAUAAAUAUUUCUUAAAGACAGGUGUGCUGGUAUCUUUGGUUUCAAGCUGUUUCCUGUCACUGCUGCCAACUGAAGAUACAGCUGAAAUGCAACUCUGCUGUGCAAUUUACUGCAUUCGUUGUUUGCUAUUCACUAACAGGUUGUUUGAUCUUGGUGACAGAGAAAUCAUUCCUUCAGUUUCUCCUACAGAGAGAGAAAACUUUAUUUAAAUAAAUUUAAAGCCAAUAUACUGACAGGGUAUCAUUGCUAUUACUGGCAGGGCUUUGAAAUACAGCAUCUCAAAGCUAGUGGAUUUAAAGCAGACUGUCUGGUCUACAAGCCCCCAUGCCUUUAAACUUUACUGAUUCACCAAAAAUAAAGACUUACAGAUGCAAUGACUUACAGUUAGUAUGGUACUUAUUUGUAGUUAGUUACAAUGGUAGUUGCAAUGGUUUUACUCAUCGGCCUUCAAUAAAAAAGCAGCAGAAUAAAAUUUAUUUACAAGUUAAACAUUCCUAAUAUAGAAUCCUAAAUAUGAAAUUCUCACAAAUCUGAAAGUCUUUUCCAUCAGUUGCCUGCUUACACCUUCAAGGCAGUUGUUACAGCACUGCUGCUUGUUCAUUUGCAAGGUAGAAUUGGGAGACUAGUGGGCACCUCAGAGAUCUGGUGUAUAAUAUUGCAAUUUUUAAAAUAUUAGGUCCUUUUUAUUCUGUCUGUCAAAUCCCCUAUCUCUUUUCAGCCUCACAUCCCAUACACAAGACAAGUAGCAAACGAAUGAAAUGUGAGGUUGGAGAGAGAUGUGAGGAUCUGGGAAAUGGCAGGAGACAGGGAUACUAAAAAUGGCUCAUUUUAUAUAUAUAUGUAUGUAAAUAUUCCAAAAUCUAGGGGGCGGGGGAGACCAUCUGAAAUCUUAAAUACUUUUGGUCCCAACUAUUUUGGGUAAGGGAUACUCAACCAGUUAUAUUAUUAGAUUACCUCAGAGGUAGACAACUGAAAGCAAUGAGGGAAGGCUAGACACUGACUCCAAGUAGGACUCCGAGGUCUGCAACUGCUCACUGUCACCCCUAU
ensembl:lncRNA